rnacentral:tRNA from 2 species
GCAGGGGUGCCGGAGCGGUUAAACGGGCAGGACUUAAGAUCCUGUGGCUUAGUGCCUUCGGGGGUUCGAAUCCUCCCCCCUGCA